GCAGUCGAGCGAACAGAUGAGAAGCUUGCUUCUCUGAUGUUAGCGGCGGACGGGUGAGUAACACGUGGGUAACCUACCUAUAAGACUGGGAUAACUCCGGGAAACCGGGGCUAAUACCGGAUAAUAUUUUGAACCGCAUGGUUCAAUAGUGAAAGACGGUUUCGGCUGUCACUUAUAGAUGGACCCGCGCCGUAUUAGCUAGUUGGUAAGGUAACGGCUUACCAAGGCGACGAUACGUAGCCGACCUGAGAGGGUGAUCGGCCACACUGGAACUGAGACACGGUCCAGACUCCUACGGGAGGCAGCAGUAGGGAAUCUUCCGCAAUGGGCGAAAGCCUGACGGAGCAACGCCGCGUGAGUGAUGAAGGUCUUCGGAUCGUAAAACUCUGUUGUUAGGGAAGAACAAAUUUGUUAGUAACUGAACAAGUCUUGACGGUACCUAACCAGAAAGCCACGGCUAACUACGUGCCAGCAGCCGCGGUAAUACGUAGGUGGCAAGCGUUAUCCGGAAUUAUUGGGCGUAAAGCGCGCGUAGGCGGUUUCUUAAGUCUGAUGUGAAAGCCCACGGCUCAACCGUGGAGGGUCAUUGGAAACUGGGAAACUUGAGUGCAGAAGAGGAGAGUGGAAUUCCAUGUGUAGCGGUGAAAUGCGCAGAGAUAUGGAGGAACACCAGUGGCGAAGGCGGCUCUCUGGUCUGUAACUGACGCUGAGGUGCGAAAGCGUGGGGAUCAAACAGGAUUAGAUACCCUGGUAGUCCACGCCGUAAACGAUGAGUGCUAAGUGUUGGGGGGUUUCCGCCCCUCAGUGCUGCAGCUAACGCAUUAAGCACUCCGCCUGGGGAGUACGGUCGCAAGACUGA
rnacentral:rRNA from 1 species